rnacentral:rRNA from 1 species
UAGGGAAUCUUCGGCAAUGGACGGAAGUCUGACCGAGCAACGCCGCGUGAGUGAAGAAGGUUUUCGGAUCGUAAAGCUCUGUUGUAAGAGAGGAACGAGUGUGAGAGUGGAAAGUUCACACUGUGACGGUAUCUUACCAGAAAGGGACGGCUAACUACGUGCCAGCAGCCGCGGUAAUACGUAGGUCCCGAGCGUUGUCCGGAUUUAUUGGGCGUAAAGCGAGCGCGGGCGGUUAGAUAAGUCUGAAGUUAAAGGCUGUGGCUUAACCAUAGUACGCUUUGGAAACUGUUUAACUUGAGUGCAAGAGGGGAGAGUGGAAUUCCAUGUGUAGCGGUGAAAUGCGUAGAUAUAUGGAGGAACACCGGUGGCGAAAGCGGCUCUCUGGCUUGUAACUGACGCUGAGGCUCGAAAGCGUGGGGAGCAAACAGGAUUAGAUACCCUGGUAGUCCACGCCGUAAACGAUGAGUGCUAGGUGUUAGACCCUUUCCGGGGUUUAGUGCCGUAGCUAACGCAUUAAGCACUCCGCCUGGGGAGUACGACCGCAAGGUUG